rnacentral:rRNA from 1 species
AGUGCAUGUGGUGGAUGCCUUGGCAGUCAGAGGCGAUGAAAGACGUAAUAGCCUGCGAUAAGCUUCGGGGAGGCGGCAAAUAUCCUAUGAUCCGGAGAUUUCUGAAUGGGGAAACCCACCUACUAUAAGGUAGGUAUCAUAAACUGAAUACAUAGGUUUAUGAGGCGAACGAGGGGAAGUGAAACAUCUCAGUACCCUUAGGAAAAGAAAUCAAUUGAGAUUCCCUCAGUAGCGGCGAGCGAACGGGGAAGAGCCCAUUAAGUAAUGUGUGUUUUAGCGGAAUGCUCUGGGAAGUGCGACCGUAGAGGGUGAUAGUCCCGUACACGAAAGGGCACACAUUAUGAUGACGAGUAGGGCGAGGCACGUGAAACCUUGUCUGAAUAUGGGGGGACCAUCCUCCAAGGCUAAAUACUCCUGACUGACCGAUAGUGAACCAGUACCGUGAGGGAAAGGCGAAAAGAACCCCUGUGAGGGGAGUGAAAUAGAUCCUGAAACCGCAUGCAUACAAGCAGUGGGAGCCGACUUGUUCGGUGACUGCGUACCUUUUGUAUAAUGGGUCAGCGACUUAUAUUCAGUAGCGAGGUUAACCGCAUAGGGGAGCCGUAGAGAAAUCGAGUCUUAAUAGGGCGUAUAGUUGCUGGGUAUAGACCCGAAACCGGGUGAUCUAUCCAUGAGCAGGUUGAAGGUUGGGUAACACUAACUGGAGGACCGAACCCACUGUCGUUGAAAAGCCAGGGGAUGACUUGUGGAUAGGGGUGAAAGGCUAAUCAAACUCGGUGAUAGCUGGUUCUCCCCGAAAGCUAUUUAGGUAGCGCCUCGGACGAAUACCAUAGGGGGUAGAGCACUGUUUCGGCUAGGGGGUCAUCCCGACUUACCAAACCGAUGCAAACUCCGAAUACCUAUGAGUACUAUCCGGGAGACAGACUGCGGGUGCUAACGUCCGUAGUCAAGAGGAAAACAAUCCAGACCGCCAGCUAAGGCCCCAAAAUCAUAGUUAAGUGGGAAACGAUGUGGGAAGGCAUAGACAGCUAGGAGGUUGGCUUAGAAGCAGCCACCCUUUAAAGAAAGCGUAAUAGCUCACUAGUCGAGUCGGCCUGCGCGGAAGAUGUAACGGGGCUAAAACUAUGUGCCGAAGCUGCGGAUUUGACUUUAAGUCAAGUGGUAGGGGAGCGUUCUGUAAGCCGAUGAAGGUGUAUUGAGAAGUAUGCUGGAGGUAUCAGAAGUGCGAAUGCUGACGUGAGUAACGACAAAACGGGUGAAAAACCCGUUCGCUGAAAGACCAAGGGUUCCAGUCCAACGUUAAUCGGGGCUGGGUGAGUCGACCCCUAAGGCGAGGCCGAAAGGCGUAGUCGAUGGGAAAUUGGUUAAUAUUCCAAUACUUCUGUUUAAUGCGAUGAGAGGACGGAGAAGGUUAAGUCAGCCUGGCGUUGGUUGUCCAGGUGGAAGGAAGUAGGCAUGCAUCUUAGGCAAAUCCGGGGUGCUCUAUGCUGAGAUCUGAUAGCAAGCUAGUUUACUAGCGAAGUGGCUGAUACCAAGCUUCCAGGAAAAGUCUCUAAGCUUCAGUUAAACAGGAAUCGUACCCUAAACCGACACAGGUGGUCAGGUCGAGUAGACCAAAGCGCUUGAGAGAACUCUGCUGAAGGAACUAGGCAAAAUGGUACCGUAACUUCGGGAGAAGGUACGCUGUUGUUGGUGAUAGGACUUGCUCCUUGAGCUGAUGACAGCCACAGAAACCAGGCCGCUGCAACUGUUUAUUAAAAACAUAGCACUCUGCAAACACGAAAGUGGACGUAUAGGGUGUGAUGCCUGCCCGGUGCUGGAAGGUUAAUUGAUGUGGUUAGCGCAAGCGAAGCUAUUGAUCGAAGCCCCAGUAAACGGCGGCCGUAACUAUAACGGUCCUAAGGUAGCGAAAUUCCUUGUCGGGUAAGUUCCGACCUGCACGAAUGGCAUAAUGAUGGCGGCGCUGU